ANAGUACUCCCUCCGUCCCAAAAUUCUUGUCUUAGAUUUGUCUAGAUACGGAUGUAUCAAGUCACAUUUUAGUAUUAGAUACAUCCGUAUCUAGACAAAUCUAAGACAAGAAAUUUGGGACAGAGGGAGUAGUUG
rnacentral:pre_miRNA from 1 species